rnacentral:lncRNA from 1 species
CUAAUCCAUGCUCUACUCUGAUAAUUAUUGUACUCAUACUUAUUACAAUACCUAUAUUAUAUAAUAAUUAUAAUGAAAUUCUUUGCAGGGUUAGUGUUAUUCAUUUGCUUUGUUGAUUCUUCUAUUAUAGGAUUUUUAACAGGUCUUGUACUAUGAGUUGUUGGCAUAAAUAACUUCCUACCCUCCAAGGUCAGAAACCAUCUCAUCAAACUUUGUAAUUGUAGGGGAAGCCAUAACGGCUUUUUAAAUUUUGUUUUGUUUUGGUCAUGCAAGUGCCUGACUUAACCUUUGCUUGCUGGGCCCAGCAUCCACUUCAAAGGGGCAUCCACUUCAAAGAAGGCUAUUCCAAAUAAACACAUUGCCAGCCUCACGACCAAAUAAAGAGCCAGGUCACCUCCCUCCCACUGAGGCUCCUUUGUUUUAGAGGUCUUGGUUGAUUUCGAUAACUAGCCCUGUGGGCCACUUGUUUUUUCUCUUCUUAUGCUUUAAAUUCCCACUCUUAUGUUUUAAAUUCACCAAUAAAGAGUGAGUCUGCAGAACCCUAGGUCCCCACCCCCAGGCCCCAAUAAAAGAGCCCUGGCCUCGCUCACACUCUCUCUCCCUUUCUACCCAUGACUUGGCUGUGUGGCCCCAGUUGUGCUGUGCAAUUUCCAGGUCCCAUACUCACGACUGCUUGAUGGCUGUCACUAGAAGAAGAGAUUUGCUUCAACACUGCCAUGGAGUGGGAGGAGGAGGCGGAAGAGCAAAGUCUUCUUCAAGACAGGGUAAAUUGUUUCUCUAGUUCUACUUUUUAACGCGUUUAUUUUUUCAAUUGCCAGAUUUCUCUUUGACGUUA